CCUACGGGUGACGGCAGUCGAGAAUCAUUCACAAUGGGGGAAACCCUGAUGCUGCGACGCCGCGUGGGGGAAUGAAGGUCUUCGGAUUGUAAACCCCUGUCAUGUGGGAGCAAAUUAAAAAGAUAGUACCACAAGAGGAAGAGACGGCUAACUCUGUGCCAGCAGCCGCGGUAAUACAGAGGUCUCAAGCGUUGUUCGGAAUCACUGGGCGUAAAGCGUGCGUAGGCUGUUUCGUAAGUCGUGUGUGAAAGGCGCGGGCUCAACCCGCGGACGGCACAUGAGACUGCGGGACUAGAGUAAUGGAGGGGUAGCCGGAAUGCUCGGUGUAGCAGUGAAAGGCGUAGAGAUC
rnacentral:rRNA from 1 species